CGUCUCUCUUUCUCUCUCCCAUUAUCUCCAAACUAGAUCAUACAACCUCUCUCUCUCCCCAGAGCAACAGGGCCUGACCGGCCGGCCUCCGUUCAACUUCGGUGAUCGGAUCCACUUCCCCACCAGCCUCUGUCCAACUCCGGCGACCGGAUCCGCUUCCCCACCAGCCUCUGUCAACUUCGAUGAUCGUCAACUUCAGCGAGGUGGUUUUGCGGUGAGGUGUAUCUAUCCCGGCCAUCGACGGGCCCGAUGACAACGACAAGGUAGUGGCUUCACCGGCUGGUGCCGGAUCCGGCGCCCACAACGCGGCUGGGCGGCCUCCUCGUCCAUCUCAUUCCGGGCAGAUCAGCGCGUGAGCACGGGCACCAUGAUGGGUCAUCGUGCACGGUUGUUGCCGGAUCCGGCGACUCCAAGCCUGACCACUACCUAAUCUGAUCGUCGGCCUCCCCUGCUACUUCAAUUUUCAGAUAUUUGCCACUUGAUUUGAACAUUCUUUGUUUGUGACAGAGAGCAUGGGGUAUAGUUUUUUGAAAGAAACCCAGAUCUAUGAAAUUACUUCCCUGUAAUAUAUUUGAAUGUGGUGUUGCAAGUUGUGAAACAAAUUUAUGUGAAAUGUUUUGUGGAAUAGAUGUGAAAUUUAUAUUUCAA